AUGGGACUAGGGCUGACCUCUGGGGACCCUCAACAUUUAGAGACUGGAUGGAGGAGCAGCCCUGACCGUGGUGGAGGAGCCAUCAGGAAGAAGCAAAGCCAGGAGAGGGUGCACUCACAGAUGCCAAUAAAGGAGCGGAGGAGGAGUGUUAACUGUGUGAUACCGCUGCGAGGACAAGGUGGAGGAGGAGGCCCAUUGGGCUUGGUCACGUGGAGGCCAUGGGAGACGAAGACAGGAGCCUCCACAGACCUCUUACUCACUUCGGCCAGUCGUAGUGAAGACCAUGCCUCCUGUACCCCUAAUUCCCAUGGGAUAGAUUUGAAAGGCAGAUGGGAUCCUUCCCCCAUCUUUUUUCAUGGUGGCAAUUUCUACAAUUACUCUCCAGACAAGCUCAGUAUCAGUUCACCAGGCUUCUGUCCUACCCAGGAAUGACCUCUUUCGAGCAUUUCCUCACAUCCCUGAUGUUUACAUGCCUCCAGGGACAGAGAGCUCACUACCUCCACGAACAGCCUAUUCUAAGCAGUAUGAUAGCAUAGCUAUCCAAAACACGGACUCCAAGCUUUGCGCAGUGGCAGUAUCGGAGCCAAUGAGGUUUAUCCACGGAGCGUUUAUUGCUAAUCAAAACACGGAUUCCAGCCCACAUUGCUGUGGGUGAAUCUCAACUCUGCUACCUACUAGUGUCCAGUGCCUCAGUUUCCUCAUCUGCAAAUGGCAAUGAUAGUUGUACCCACUUCCAAUUGUGAUUAUGAGGAUUAAGAAGAUGCUACAUUUAAGCUGCUUGGUAAGCAUGUAAUACAUUUCAGCUAUUAACAUCAUCAUCACUGUUUUUCCUGAGGGAAAGCUACAGCUUACCUUACUAUAGUCUCCACCCAUUGGGCCCUUGGAAUAGUACCCUCUUCGGCACUCACCUGCGGUUCUGCAGUUCUCAAUUUUCAUUUUCUCCUGACGCAGGGUUUGGAUUUGUUUUUGUUUUUAGGGUUUUGUUUUUUUUUUUUUGGUAAGCCCAGUUAUUCAUCAUGCAAACAUGGUUUUCCUGAGAUUAUUUCUCCUUGACAGAAUCCCUGGUUGUUUGCCAGGCAAGCUCAACAUUGCCAAAUACAUAACUAGGGUGGGAGAGUGAUAGCUGAAGGCUUUGCCUCCUCCCCUCGUAGGCCCUCUUGUUGGCUCUCAGGCUUUUGCACUCCCUGGAUUUAGAAUCUUGUCAGUGGGGGCCCAUAACUGCAUAUCUACCAUCAGGGCAAGAUUAGGUGAUGAUGAAGAGCCCAGAUUCUGGAGACAGACAGAGCCAAGUUCAAAUUCAGACUCGUCUGCUUAUUUGCAAUGUGUGAUCUUGGCCAAGGCACUCAGUGUCCCCAAGCUUGAGCUUCUUCAUCUGCAAAAAUGAGGAUAACCACCUUGCUUACUUCAUCAGGUGCUAUGAGCAUGAAGACAGUGCAUGGCGUGUAAAACACUCAGCA
rnacentral:lncRNA from 1 species